AAAGAUUCAAUCAAUCUAAAUAAAUUUAACCAGUUUCACUAAGUUUAUUCUCUAAUGUUUCUCUUUAAAGCUUGUUCUGUUAAAACUAAGGGUUAAUAAGUACAAUUUAUAACUGAAAAUCAAGUGAAUAAACGUUUUUGGUGCCACACUUGGCUGCGUAUUUGAAAGGAGGUUUAUGAGUGGUGAUUUGAGGACGAAGAAGAGGAAGAAUUUCAAUUCCCAGGAAGAAGAAUGAGGAAUUACCUGAAGUUAGGGUUAGGGUUAGGGUUAGGGUUAGGAUUUGGGACGGUGUCAAUGUGCAGGAAUGUGUUUGCUUCGUCAAAAAUGUCAGCUCGUGUUCUUGGAUUGAAUACUGAGUUGCUUCGCUUCUUCUCCGCCCCUGCAGAGCAUGUGGCUCAUUUAUCACCCGACAUAAUCCAAAUUAUGGAGCAAAGGUUGUCAUCUAUUGAGCGGAGAAGUGCUUUACUUCAUGAAUUCAUCAACAAGCCAGAUGCCUUACCAGCCGAGUAUGUAAGAGCCAAUAAGGACCUCAAGAAACUCCGAAGUUCGGUGGAGUUAAUACAACACUUGAGAGCCAAGCAGAAGGAAAUCGAUAGUCUCAAGUCACUCAUGGCUGAAUGUGCUGAUGACAAAGAUAUGCUAAAGAUGGCAAAUGAGGAAAUGGAUCAGGCUGUUGAAGGAGAGAAAAGGCUGCAAAUGUUGCUGCUGAAAUCAUUGCUUCCAAAGGAUGACGCUGAUGAAAGGGGCAGCAUUCUGGAGGUGAGAGCAGGUACUGGAGGGGAAGAAGCUUCUUUAUUUGCAAUGGAAAUAUUCAAAAUGUAUGAGAGAUACUCACAGAAGAAGGGAUGGAAAUUUGAAGUUGUUUAUAUAACAGAGACUGACCUUAGGGGAUUCAAGGAAGCUAUUGGAUUGAUCUCGGGGGCUGGUGUGUAUGGGAAGCUCAAGUUUGAGAGUGGUAUUCACAGAGUUCAGCGCGUUCCUGUGACAGAGAAGUCUGGCCGGGUCCAUACAAGUGCUGUAACUGUUGCCAUCCUCCCUCAGGCUGAUGAGGUAGAUGUCCAAUUGAGAAGUGAUGAUUUGAGAAUUGAUACUUACCGCUCUGGGGGUUCAGGUGGUCAGCAUGCUAAUACUACAAACAGUGCUGUGAGGAUAACUCAUAUUCCUUCUGGGCUGACAGUAUCUAUUCAAGAUGAACGGUCACAGCACAAGAACAAGGCCAAAGCAUUGAAGAUACUGUGUGCAAAGCUUUAUGAAAUUGAGAGGUAUACAAGUCAGAGAAACCGAUCAAAGCUUCGGGCAGAGCAGAUUGGCAGUGGUGACAGAUCCGAACGCAUUCGUACAUACAACUUCCCACAAGGGCGUGUCACUGAUCACCGUGUUGGGAUCACGCAUCACUCAAUAAAUGAGGUGCUGCAGGGGGAGAGUUUAGAUGUAUUCACUGAUGCUCUUCUCUUACAGCAGGAAAUGGAUGCCAUUGCAAAUUUCUCAGCCAGCUAGUAUUCUGAGUGAAGAUAACCUUUUGCACAUUGUGAUUUGUUAAGAGUUUUCAAAAUAAUACUUCAAAGGUACAAGUGUGAUCAUGCUAUGGCUGUUGGAACGCUUUCUUCUGUGGAGCUUCAACUACUUUCCGUAGUCAUAAAUAGCAGCAUAAUUUGGGGUGGUAGCUGUUGUCAACCGUCCAGGAGGUAAAGGUGGGAUCAAGGAUAAUGGCAGUAAGGAUGACGAAAACCUGUCAGCUUCAAUGAAGACGGUGAAUGCCCUUUGUGCACCAUCUACAUUCAAAGAUUCAUGUAUUAAGAGUUUAGGUUCAGCAGCACAAAACGAGAGUGCAACCCCUCAAGACUACGUUCAAAUUGGGAUUCAAAUGGUUUUACAGGAGAUAUUAAAGGCCAGCAAUCUCACUGAUGCCUUUGUCUCCAAAGCUAAUUCAACCAAAUAUGUGGAGAGAACUAACAUGGCUAUUCAAACUUGUAAAGACCUCUACAAUUUGGCUGUAGAUCGCCUCGAGGGUUCCAUUAAAAAAGUUAAUGAUCCUAAAAUGUAUAAAGAUAAGGGUAUUGUUUGGAAUGUUCGUCUAUGGCUCACUGAUGUUGUCACUUUUGCCACUAGUUGUGUAGAUGAAUUUGAUGAGGCUGAAGCUCCUGAACUUCAAAAUAAGAUGCAGGAUGCUGUUGUCAAUGCCACUGAGCUCACUGUUAGCAUGCUCGAUAUCAUUACCAUCUUCAAUGAAGCUCUUGCAGACUUGGGUCUUUCUCCUGAUGCCAGCAAAUUGGUUGAGCUUUCAACUACAGUUAAUGCUACAUCCAAAGUUGUAGUUACUAGUAGCCGUCGCCUCCUUGGCAUGGCCGUUGAUGGAGAAGGCUAUCCGACAUGGUUAUCUCGUAGUGAUCGUAAGCUCUUAGGUGCCAAAAAUAUGAACAAGAAAAAGGGGGUUGGUAAGGGCAAGGGCAAGAAGAAAGGAAAGAAGGGAAAGGGCAAGAAGAAGGCAGGAGCUGCAGUAGCAGGAGCAGCAGCAGGAGCAGCUGCUGUAAUUCAACCGGGUAUGAAGCCCAAUGCUGUGGUUGCUCAAGAUGGUAGCGGUCAGUUCAAGACGAUCAGCGAUGCUGUAAGGGCACAUCCAGGGAAGAAUGCACAGGGUCGGUAUGUUAUAUAUGUUAAGGCUGGAAUCUAUAGGGAGGAUGUACUCAUAGGUAAGGAGCACACUAAUGUUUUCAUGUAUGGUGAUGGCCCUACAAAAACAGUAAUAACAGGUGACAAGUGUUUCGCAAAGGGAAUUCAAACUUCUAAGACAGCACCCUUUAGUGUAGAGGGUAUUGGGUUCUUUGCAAAGGACAUGGGUUUUCAAAACACGGCUGGUCCAACAGGCCACCAAGCUGUGGCUUUGAGGGUAAAUGCUCUUGAAGCUGUGUUCCAUAAUUGUUGGUUUGAUGGUUUCCAAGACACAUUAUAUGUUCAAGGUGGAUCUCAAUUCUUCCGUGAUUGUCAAAUUGCUGGAACUGUUGAUUUUAUAUUUGGUAAUGGUGCUACUAUAAUACAAAACUCAAGGAUACUUGCUAAGAAGUGUGACCCUAACCAAAUGAAUUUAGUCACAGCUCAAGGUGGUGUAGCUGUUAAUGAACCAACUGGUAUUGUAAUUCAAGGUUGUGAGAUACUACCUGAUAAAGACCUUUUCCCACUCAGGUUUGAACUUAAGACUUACUUGGGUCGGCCAUGGAAGAUGUAUGCAAAGACUGUGUUCAUGGAGUCUCUUAUGGGAGACUUGAUCCAACCUAUUGGUUAUGAACCUUGGGCUGGAAAUGCAAAUAUUAAUACUGCAUUUUAUGGUGAAUACGCCAAUCGUGGACCAGGUGCCAAUACAGCAAUGAGGGCCAAGUGGAAGAAUGUUAGGGUCUUAAAUAAGGCUGAUGCCCAACGCUAUUCAGCUGGUGUCUUCUUAGCCGGGGCUCCUUGGGUUAAAGCCGUUGGUGUUCCACUAAAUCUUCUUGUUGCAUAAUGAAUGUGUUUAGGACUCAGGAUUAACCAGACUUCUAUCAGUCACUGAUUUGCUAGACUUUCUUUACUGGAGUAUUAUAUACAUAACAAAUGCAUGAAUCAAUAUUUACCUUCUCUCUGUAUAAUUUUAAAGGUGUAUGGGGAAGGGGGGAAGUGAGAGAUUCAUUUUGAUAUGAGGAGGAAAGGGAUUUUUUAUGUAUAAGAAUUAAAUUGUCCUCCAUUUUAAUAAACACCAAUGUUGGAAAGA